AUUUCCUUUUCUUGCCUCAUUGCUCUGGCUGUUACUUCCAGCACUGUGUUGAAUGAGUGGUGAGAGCAGACCCCCUUGUCUUAUUCUUGACCUUGGAGGAAGAGCACUUAGUCUUUCACCAUUAAGCAUAAUGCUAGCUGUAGGUAUUGUGUAGAUGCUCCUUAUCAAGUUGAGGAGAUUGUCUUCAUUCCAUUUU